UACGGAGGGUGCAAGCGUUAUCCGGAUUCACUGGGUUUAAAGGGUGCGUAGGUGGGUCUGUAAGUCAGUGGUGAAAUCCCCGAGCUUAACUUGGGAACUGCCAUUGAUACUAUAGCUCUUGAAUACUGUGGAGGUCAGCGGAAUAUGUCAUGUAGCGGUGAAAUGCUUAGAUAUGACAUAGAACACCACUUGCGAAGGCAGCUGGCUACACAAAUAUUGACACUGCGGCACGAAAGCGUGGGGAUCAAACAGG
rnacentral:rRNA from 1 species